GUCGACAUUGGAGUCUUUAUGUGGAGAAUACGAACUAGAAGAGGAAAACAGAGAGAGAGAGGCAUUCACUGCUUCUUCCAUUUGGAGAUUAAAAGCUAAGUCGAGAUCAGAGUGCAGGGUUUUGGCGUCGGCAAUUUCACGGCGUUGCAGGUCAAGUAUGGAAUCUAGAGAGUCUUCGCUCGAGUCGAGAUCAGAGUGCAGGGUUUUGGCAUCGGCGAUUUCACGGCGUUGCAGGUCAAGUAUGGAAUCGAGAGAGUCUUCGCUCGAGUCGAGAACAAGCUUUCCCUUGUGGGAUUGCUCAGGCUCAGAAUUGUCUAUCCCUUCAUUCAUUUCUGGGACUUGAAAGUGGACUCUCUUCCGCUUUUCUCGCAUUUUUUGGCUGG
rnacentral:lncRNA from 1 species